rnacentral:lncRNA from 12 species
UGGCCCUCGCGGGCUGCGUGGUGCCUCUUGACGUCCAGGCUGAGUCCCCGAACCAUCCAGGGGCUCCCUCAUGGUCUCUCUUCCCCCUGAAUACUGGGUCCUGGCCUCACAGGCCCUGGCGUCUACUGGGUUGUGUGCCCCGGUGAGGAAGUUCCCGGUCCCAGCGGGUGGGUUUUUUGUGUUUUUUUUUUUUAAUUUUUAUUUAUUUAUGAUAGUCACAGAGAGAGAGAGAGAGAGAGAGAGAGAGGCAGAGACAUAGGCAGAGGGAGAAGCAGGCUCCAUGCACCGGGAGCCCGACGUGGGAUUCGAUCCCAGGUCUCCAGGAUCGCGCCCUGGGCCAAAGGCAGGCGCCAAACUGCUGCGCCACCCAGGGAUCCCUUUUUGUUGGUUUUUAAAGAUUUUAUUUAUUUAUUUGAGAGAGACAGAAUGAGUGGGGGAAGACGGGGAGAGAGAAGCCGACUCCUCGCGGAGCAGGGAGCCCGACGCAGGACUUGAUCCCAGGACCCGGAGAUCGUGACCCAAGCCGAAGGCAGGCACUUCACCGAUGGAGCCCCCCAGCGCCCCGAAAUCUGUUCGUGGUUUUAUCAGGGCUUCUGGAGGUCAGCCCGGCGGCUCAGCCCUGGGGAACGCCCUCGCGUGCGUGGCGGACUGCGGGUCCCGCUGGCUUCAAGGGCGGCCCAUCCCCCCCGACGGCUCCAGCAGCGUUUGCUCCGCGUGGUGGGGAUUUGCUCUGGGACGCGCCGACAUGCAGGCCUGUGAUGCCUUCAGAGCAUUUCUCGCCUUCCCAUCUGACUCAGAUACAUGUGCACAUCCCUGUGGAAACCUCCCGUGGGCGUGGACAGGACCGGGAGACUUGUGUCCUGUGAGCAGAGUGCACACGGCCUGGGGCUGCUACUUCUGCGGGGAGGCCGCACACGACGGCGACUUGGUCUCGCGUCUCUGCUGCUGAGCGGGCCCUGAUGGAGCAGCCACGUGCCGGCCCAUCUGCCCGAGCAGCCUCUUUGGCAACAAAGUGGGAGAUGAGGCCCCGCGUCCAGCAGCCCGAGAUGAAACCGCAGCCAGCAGCCUCCGCCAGCACCUUGGUUGUAGCUCCGUGAGAGACCCCGAAAAGGAGGACCCGCCUAAAGCCGUAGCCAGGGCCCUGACCCCAAGAUAAAUAAAGGUGUACUGUUUUCCUCUAAGUUUUGGGGU